GGGCCCGCACAAGCGGUGGAACAUGUGGUUUAAUUCGACGCAACGCGAAGAACCUUACCUGGGUUUGACAUCCCCGGCCGACACCAGAGAUGGUGUUUUCUCUUCGGAGACCGGGUGACAGGUGCUGCAUGGCUGUCGUCAGCUCGUGUCGUGAGAUGUUGGGUUAAGUCCCGCAACGAGCGCAACCCUUGCCCUCAGUUGCCAGCAGUUCGGCUGGGCACUCUGGGGGGACUGCCCGUGAUAAGCGGGAGGAAGGUGUGGAUGACGUCAAGUCCUCAUGGCCCUUACGGGUUGGGCUACACACGUGCUACAAUGGUAGUGACAAUGGGUUAAUCCCAAAAAGCUAUCUCAGU
rnacentral:rRNA from 1 species